CAAGCUUAAGCCGUUAGGUGUAGGCGCAGCGAAAGCGAGUCUGAAAUGGGCGACUGAGUUCGAUGAAUUAGACCCGAAACCCGGCGAUCUAGGCAUGACCAGGCUGAAGGUGCGGUAACACGCACUGAAGGGCCGAACCGUUGAAUGUUGAAAAAUUCUCGGAUGAGUUGUGUUUAGGGGUGAAAGGCCAAUCAAGCCGGGAAAUAGCUGGUUCUCCGCGAAAUCUAUUGAGGUAGAGCGUCGGAUGUUUGCCGUUGGGGGUAGAGCACUGGAUGGAUGCGGGGGUCGCGAGAUCUACCAACUCUAACCAAACUCCGAAUACCAACGAGUCUAGUCCGGCAGACAGACGGCGGGUGCUAAGGUCCGUCGUCAAAAGGGAAACAGCCCUAACCUACAGCUAAGGUCCCCAAGUCAUCACUAAGUGGGAAAGCAUGUGGGAUUUCCAAAACAACCAGGAGGUUGGCUUAGAAGCAGCCAUCCUUUAAAGAAAGCGUAACAGCUCACUGGUCUAAAUAAGAGAUCCUGCGGCGAAAAUGUAUCGGGG
rnacentral:rRNA from 1 species